GAAAUCAAUUGUCUCUUAAUUAGAGGCUUGCAUGAAAGAAAUUUCUUUUAACUUCUAUAAUUUUAUAAAUUUCUAAAAUUAAAUUUAUUUGAAAAAAAUAAAUUUUUGUUGAAAGACGAGAAGACCCUAAAAUUUUUCCUUAAAGGUUCUCUGGGGCAGAGAGUUUUAAAAAAUAUCUAAAAUAUUUAUAGUUUAAUAAUCUAAAAAGAAUAAAAUACUUUAGGGAUAACAGCUUAAUUUAACUUUAUAGAUCUUAUAGAUAGUUAAGUUUUUGACCUCGAUGUUGGAUUUGUAAUUUCCUUAGGUUAGAAGAAUGACUAAUAGGAAUGACUGUUCGUCAUUUAAAUUUAC
rnacentral:rRNA from 1 species